GACGAACGCUGGCGGCGUGCUUAACACAUGCAAGUCGAACGCUGAAGCACCAGCUUGCUGGUGUGGAUGAGUGGCGAACGGGUGAGUAAUACGUGAGUAACCUGCCCUUGACUCUGGGAUAAGCCCGGGAAACUGGGUCUAAUACUGGAUGCUACAUGUCACCGCAUGGUGGUGUGUGGAAAGGGUUUACUGGUCUUGGAUGGGCUCACGGCCUAUCAGCUUGUUGGUGAGGUAAUGGCUCACCAAGGCGACGACGGGUAGCCGGCCUGAGAGGGUGACCGGCCACAAUGGGACUGAGACACGGCCCAGACUCCUACGGGAGGCAGCAGUGGGGAAUAUUGCACAAUGGGCGAAAGCCUGAUGCAGCGACGCCGCGUGAGGGAUGACGGCCUUCGGGUUGUAAACCUCUGUCAGCAGGGAAGAAGCCACAAGUGACGGUACCUGCAGAAGAAGCGCCGGCUAACUACGUG
rnacentral:rRNA from 1 species